rnacentral:misc_RNA from 1 species
UUAAGUUCAGCGGGUAUCCCUACCUGAUCCGAGGUCAACCUGAAAAAAUUGGGGGUUGCUGGCUAGCACGCACUCGGGUCUCCAAAGCGAGAAGAAUUACUACGCUUGAAGCCGAGUGGCGCCGCCACUGAUUUUAAGGCCCGCCGGGUGCUGGCGGGGCCCAAUACCAAGCAGAGCUUGAGGGUUGUAAUGACGCUCGA